UGUCAAAACUCUUGACCUCAGGUGAUCCACCUGCUUUGGUCUCCCAAAGUGCUGGGAUUACAGGCGUGAGCGACCCUGCCUGGCCACAUGCUGACUCUCAGGCCAGUGCUCUGUCCACGUUUGCACCUGCUCUCACCCAAACCUUCUCAUUGUCUUCAGACAGAGCCACAGCCGAACAGAUUCAGAGAAACGAAAACCUCACUCACUUUUAGCGUACACCCAGAUGGAAAACGGUAGAAGCAAAAAUACUUGCUGAAAUGUGAUUUAUAUGUGGAACCCACCUUCAAACCAACUUGCUGAAGUUAUGACUGCCUAUAAUCCAUUAGGUGUGAGAGGAAAAAACUAACAUGCCAAAUGCUUUUGCUUCGUGUGUGCUGUGUAUUCCCAUCCAGCUGGGGCUGCCAGUAAAUGCUGCCUUUUAACUUUUCUUUCUGAAUUACUAUUAUUUCUCUGAUCCUAAAAGAGUAGUGCUUUAAAAAAUGACAUGAAGGUUUAUUGACUUAGUUCUUACACUGCUAAGCAUAUCUGCAUAGAAAAACAUGCUGAAGGCAUAAUCUUACUCUCCUGUAACUUACAAUCUAAUUGUAGAGUUGAUGUAAGAGUUGUGUUUAAUGCCAUUUCUACAUUGUGUGUGUGCUUGCCUGUUUAUAAUUGUCAUUUAUUAAAA
rnacentral:lncRNA from 1 species